CGUCGAAACCAAAUCAGGGACACUGAAACAAAAUCUCAUUAUUCUUUAUUAAUAUCGACGAUCAUGAUGGCAAAGAACAGUCAAUCCACCAUACUCCCUCCCUCACAUUAUCAUUCUCACCCUGUCACGAACAACACCGAAACGGCGCACCUUGGACACGCGUUUCGCGUUCUGCUCUACUCUUCGAUCUAGCUUUCAACGUUACGGAGCGAAAAUCCUCCAAACUCUUCCAUUCGACAAGCACAGGUAAGCUAUUUUUUUUGUUUGGGUUUUUGUUUAAAGAUGCGAACUGGAGAUGAAGUAGUGGAAAUCGAGAGCUUGGAGAGAAGCUUGUUAUCGGAAUCCGUUACCGGAGAAGAGGAAACGGAAAAAGAAACAGACGAUGAGCCGGUUCUUUACACGGCGUCAUUUGAGGAGAUGGAAGAGAAUUUCGUCAACCACCAAACGGCUCAAUGGGUUUUAUACUCAUUGGUUUUGAUAUUAGCUUGGGGUAUUGGGUUGUUCAUGCUCUUAUACAUUCCCGUUCGAAGACACAUUCUCCGAAGAGAUAUUCGAUCCCGAAAGCUCUAUCUCACUUCAAAUUCCAUCGUUUACAAAGUUACAAGGCCAGUGGCAAUUCCUUGUUUUGGGGUUUUAAAGAAAGAGAAGCAUGUUCUAUUACCUUCAGUUGCAGAUGUUGUAAUUGAACAAGGAUAUCUGCAGUCUUUUUUUGGUGUUUACUCUGUUAGGAUUGAGAAUGUUGGUGUAAGGAGGCCUCCCAGUGAUGAUGUACAAAUCCAUGGCAUUGCUAACCCAAAUGCUUUUAGGAAGGCUGUUUUGACACGCCUUUCGAAUAUGAGGACUGAAGUUUUCUCCCGACAAGUUUCCGCAAUUGAAGAUACUCCAAGUUUAACGACUCACCCCCCAGCUGCUUGGCUUUCUCCACCAAGGAGUCUUAAGUUUGAUGCUAUUUCUUAUUCAGGGGAUCUUGCAUUAUUGCAAAAGCUAGAGGAGGUUGGGAGUUCUGUGAAGAAAGUUCAAACUUUGAUUGAGGAACAACGUAGUCAAACAUCAAAAACUGCUGAUUGAGGUCAGCAUAUCAAAAUUCAGAAUGAAAUGCUAACUUCUUGCUUCUGAUGUUUGCUUUAUUUGCAAGGUUCAGAGUAAAACUAAGCAGCAUUCAACAUGUCUUACUGUAGCUGUCAGUAGUCGAGAAAACAUUUGUAUCUUUAUUCUGAGAUGCCAUUUCAAGCACUGCAUACAAAUAUCUCUGGUGUCAAGUUUUGAGUGAGAUUUAUUUACCCUUUCUUGUGACAUUCCCGAGGCUACAAUCUUCCUGCUGCUAUGGUUGUCUAUCAUUCAAUUUGUAUUUCCUCAUUAACAAUUAGGAAAGGAAAAAAAAUCUUUCUCUAUGUAUGUUUUUUUUCUUACUUGAAGUUGUCAGGAUUGAACUCCAAUCACUAGAACCAAGAGUUCAACACUCUACCAACAACAGAUCACACGGUUGAUGGCUUGCUCUAUGUAUGCUUUACUGUCUUUUGCGGUCAGUUUCUAUUUCAUUUCAUUUCUUUGUAAAUUUCAUUUGCUCUCAUUCUAAUUCUUGGGAGUUUGUAUUAUACAGUUGUCUUAAUCAUCAUGAUUAUUGUUUAGUAAUCUUCUUUUAUGUUAUACUGAAUGGAGUUUCACAUUUUCUUGGAGUUAUUGAUGAUCUAUUGCACAUAAAAUCCUGCCCUCACCCCUUAAUUCUGUUUUCAUUAUUAAUUGGUAUAAGUUACUUAAAUGAUUGUAAAUAACUAAAUACUAUGAGUAAAUAGUAAUAUCUUUAAUUAC